CAGCGAUGCACGACAGGGUUCAAAGCUCCUUCACUGCACACCCCAGCUGCAGGCACAGCAGGACACUGCUGCUGUCCCCGGGGGGGUGGCAUCCUCCUGGCACUGCCACUGCUGCCAGGUCACCCCAGCUGGCAAUCCAGGCUCGGGGACCUCAGGGAGGGCUGACGCCUGCGCUCAGGAAGGCGGUGAGCUCACGGGUUUAAUUUUCUCAAGGCUUCGUUGGGCUCUGACAUGUGAUCCUCGCUACAGGAAGGACGCGGCGAAUGCAUCGUCCCCCGGGGCUGCCUGGCUCGACCUUGUGGGAAGAGACUCCUUUUCCACCCUCACUGCAUCACAACAGCUGCCAGACCCCUGAUAAACGGGACAGUGGUCCAUGAGUGCGGCUGUGCGAGCCCUCGGGGCUGGAGCAAGGAUGGAGGAAUGGUCACUGCUGAGGAUGGCCAGCCCAAACAACAGAGAGCACUCAUUGCUGGAGGUCCUGCGCAAGAACCUCAUGGAAAAUUGUUUGCUGCCUGCGUGGAAUUCCCCGCCUGGUGCCAACACGGUGGAUGUUUAGGCGAGUGUCACACCCGGCCAUCAAGGGCUGCAUCACCGGCACCGCUUUCAGCCCACACAGCCCGGGACAAACGUUUGGCCGGAGGAAAUGAAGCAAGAGCUGAUUUACACCUAUCGGGAUGGAUCACCACUGACCUCCAUCGCCGAUUCCCGCUGCCACGGGGAGCAUCACUCCGCUGCUCUUCCUCCCUUUGCUCAUUUGGAAGACGGGGGUAAUAAUCCCCAUCACCUAUUUGCGAGGCUGUUGUGAAUUUUCAUGAGCUCCCAUCUGAACGGGGCUUUGAGCAGGAAAACUGCUGUAUCAGCUCUAGGCAAUGAUAAACAAUACUCAGCAUUUACAUAUUCAAAGCACUUUGAUUAACUCUUGGGGUUUAAGGACUUGAGUCGAUUCCCACCCGACCGUAAUGGCAGCUGGACGGGGCGAGGGGCGGCGCCGGGGGAGAGCUGGGGGGAGAGCUGGGGGCUCACCCCGCCGGGCAGGGCCAGGAGCAGCCCCCGACAGAGUCACGCAAAGCGCCUCCUGCCUUAAAUCCCUGCCUGGAACGGAGGAGAAAUAAAUCCGGCUGGUCCCCGCCCGCGGGAAGGGGC
rnacentral:lncRNA from 1 species